GACGAACGCUGGCGGCGUGCUUAACACAUGCAAGUCGAACGGAAAGGCCCCUUUGGGGGUACUCGAGUGGCGAACGGGUGAGUAACACGUGAGUAACCUGCCCUUGACUUCGGGAUAACUUCAGGAAACUGGGGCUAAUACCGGAUAGGAAUCCUUGCUGCAUGGUGGGGGUUGGAAAGCUUCGGCGGUUUUGGAUGGACUCGCGGCUUAUCAGCUUGUUGGUGGGGUAGUGGCUUACCAAGGCUUUGACGGGUAGCCGGCCUGAGAGGGCGACCGGCCACAUUGGGACUGAGAUACGGCCCAGACUCCUACGGGAGGCAGCAGUGGGGAAUUUUGCACAAGGGGCGGCAGCCUGAUGCAGCAAGGCCGCGUGCGGGAUGACGGCCUUCGGGUUGUAAACCGCUUUCAGCAGGGGCGAAGCUUGUGGUGACGGUACCUGCAGAAGAAGCACCGGCUAACUACGUG
rnacentral:rRNA from 1 species